GUCAUUUGUGAAUCUUUUAAGCCACAGUAGAGCCAUAUUGGUUGGGUAUUUUUGGCAAAAAAAUUCAGUUUUUUGUAAAUUUUGAGCUAGGUCGAAAUUUUGGUUUUUUCAUCAUUUCGACCAUUUUAAUCACUCAAAUCGGCAAUUUGACCAUAUAUUCUGAAAGCUGACAAAAUUCUCUUGAGUUUGGUCUAGGUUUGAGCGAAUUUGGUGAAGAAUUGUAGAAUUUAUGUAGGUUUUAGUGUGUUUUUGUGUUGUUUAUACCUUG